ACCUAAAGCUUAGAUCUGUGUGUAUUCAAGGAACAGAUGCGUACUCAAAAAGCUAUUUGGUUUUUUCCUUGUUAUUAUUAUCUUACUGACAGCUUCUGAUUUGUGAUUCUAACAAUGUGUUUGAUUAUAUUUAGUUAUUAUUCUAGUUUUAUACGGUAAAAAAAUAUUUCUACAAAUGAUUUGUCGACAUUUUUUAUUCCAAAAACGUGAACUUAAACAAAGAUGCAUUUGGUUAGAAUUAUAUAGCUUUAUGAUUUGAUGGAUCGUGAAUACAAACGACAUAUAUAAUAUACAUAAAUGUUAUUAUAUGUACAUUGUAUAGUAAAAUAAGCAGAGAGAAUGGCUGGCAUAAAUUUUUUCAAAGUG
rnacentral:misc_RNA from 1 species